UCUGGUUCUAGGUCUUUGAGGAAUCACCACACUGUCUUCCACAAUGGUUGUACUAAUUUACAUUUGCUGGUGCUGUUUUCUACAUUGAAUCUGAGGGCUACUGUAUGAUGUGUAAGACACUUUCUGAUUGGAGCCUCACAAUGAUCCUACCAGGACCGACUCUCAGGAGAUGAAGAUCCAAUCACUCUAUCAAAGAAUAUGAGCAUUUCCGAGGCUCUUGUAAGACAUCCAGCCUCCAGAACUGUGAGUACUAUGCUGAAGAGAGCCCUCAUCAGCACCUGACCAACCUGACCAUGCUGCACCCUCAUCUUAGACGUUCAGCCUCCAGAACUGUGAAUACUAUGCUGAAGAGAGCCCUCACCAGCACCUGACCAUGCUGCACCCUCAUCUCAGAUGUCCAGCCUCCAGAACUGUGAGUACUACAUUUCUGUUGCUUAUAAGUGAUCCAUUCUGUGGUAUUUUGUGAGAGCAGCCUGAAUGACUACCUUGUGACUGAAGGUAUACUUCAUAAUAGUGUUCGGGGUCACUGGGAAAUGUGUUCAGAAGAUUUCAGAUGUGCAUCAGCAAUGGUCUUCUUCCAUUUGUCCUGGAAAGAGAUGAAAAUCACAUCACAAAAAUGCUCAUCAGUGUCUACUGGCCCUUUUCCUUACAUAUGCCUGAAACUCCAACCUCUAUGGGUGCCUUUUAGUGCUUGUUUGGGCUGUGACAUAGAGAGAAAUUGAACAAAAUAAAUGUACAGUAUAAUUACAACUACUGUAAAGCAAAGCAAUUUGCAAACAUCAAAAGGAAAUCCUGUGUCCAAACUGCCUACGUCCUAUGGACCACACUGUGGGGCUCUGACAGUAUUCUGUGUGACUGCCAGAAGAUAACUUGACCCUCUUUAGCUAAAGGUAACACCAACCAGAGUCUCUAUGAUCUCUCACACACAAUGCUCAGCAUUUAAUAAGAAAUCAGUAGGCAUGAUGACCCAUUCACCAAAAGCCAAAGAAAAACCAAAGCAGACAACAGAAAUAAUCCCAUAGGAGAAACAGAUAUUGAGUAUUC
rnacentral:lncRNA from 1 species